rnacentral:lncRNA from 1 species
UGUAUUGCAUAGUUUUAGGGAUUGAAUUUCACUCAAAACUCACCAAAUGACUUCGCCCAUUAUGUUAUAAUGUUCCCUAAGUUUUGGGCUCAAUCCGAUAUCGAUUGGUCCGUUAAAUUGGAUAAUUCAAGUUCAUGCGAAGUUCGUUCUGAAAUGAAAUGGUUGGUGUAUUGCAUAGUUUUAGAGAUUGGAUUACACUCAAAACCCACCAAAUGACUCAUCCCACCACAUUAUGAUGUUGAACAAGUUUUGGACUCAAUCCGAUAUCGAUUGGACCAUGAAAUUGGACAAUUCAG